rnacentral:misc_RNA from 1 species
UGGUUCCGGCAUCGAUGAAGAACGCAGCGAAAUGCGAUAAGUAUUGUGAAUUGCAGAAUUCAGUGAAUCAUCGAAUCUUUGAACGCACAUUGCGCCCCUUGGUACUCCGAGGGGCAUACCUGUCCGAGCGUCAUUGCACCUCUCAAGCUCCGCUUGGUCUUGGGACCCGCCCCUUCCCCGGGGUGGCCCCGAAAAGCAGUGGCGGUCCGGUGAGACUUCAAGCGUAUGGAAUAUGACCGGGAAACGGUCGUUCGUUUGGAACGCUCGAGCCGCGACCCCGCCAGAUCAACCCCUCAAAAUCUUUCAGGUUGACCUCGGAUCAGGUAGGGAUACCCGCUGA